GAUGAACGCUGGCGGCGUGCUUAACACAUGCAAGUCGAACGGUGACGGCGUAGCUUCCUCUGCUGGCUCAGUGGCGAACGGGUGCGUAACACGUGAGCAAUCUGCCCUUGACUUUGGGAUAAGCUCUGGAAACGGCGUCUAAUCCUGUAUCCGAUCUGCCCUGGCAUUUUCAGCAGCUGGACAUCAUUGCGGGCAGGGAUGAGCUCGCGGCUUAUCAGCUUGUUGGUGAGGUAAUGGCUCACCCAGGCGUCGACGGGUACCCGGCAUGAGAGGGUGACCGGCGACAAGGGGACUGAGGCACGGCCCAGAGUCGUAUGGGAGACAGCAGUGGGAAGUAUUACACAGUGAGAGAGAGCCUGAUGAAGAGACGCCGGGUGAGGGAAGACGGCCUUUGGGUUGUAAAACGCUUUUAGCAAAGAAGAAGCGAAAGUGACGGUACCUGCAGAAAAAGCGCCGGCUAACUACGUG
rnacentral:rRNA from 1 species